rnacentral:lncRNA from 1 species
UCUCAAUUUUAUUUGUUCUUCGAAGACUCCUUAUGGCUUCAUGUUUGGGCACAUAAUAUGGAAUUCCUGGAUAUACUUGUGUGAGUCUUCAUUUUUUAAUCCUUGAAACUUUAGAAGCAAAUGAAUCAGCGAAGAUUUUAGCUCAAACACAGCUUUCAAGGCUACACAAGUGAUGCAAAGGGGUUGCUAGUUGGUAAGCGAGGCUGCUAACUCCUUUAAAGUACAUUCCUCAGUCAUCUGCUCUAUUUCUGCUUCUCUUUCGGGGGUUGUACUGCUAUCUGCACAAACUAUGUCCUGUUGACACGUUCUUCUCUUUAGUUGAGUAUUUUCCUUAAACUUUUUGCGAUUUUUUUUAUUUCUGAAUUAUAAAGAAGAGGUUCUCCACGAUCGGUCUUGGUCAUAAAAAGGAAAAAUAAUUAGUUAAUCUCAAUUCUCUGGCAAUGGUGCCAAAAUUUGAUGCGUGUCGAAUCUACCAAAAGU